AGCAGAUUAAAACUAGAUAACAACUUGUUUGCUUCAACCAUGGCAUAGAGAUUUGAUUUAUAAAGAUGCAUCAUUUGGCUUUUGGUAUUGAUUGGAUAAACCUUCAAAUUCUUUAUCUUCCACAAACACCUCAAACAUAGCACCACAACCUCCAGAUACAUCUACAACGUUGACGCUUGCCUAUAAGAGAAAUCUGCCAGUUAAUAACUGGUGUAUUUGCUGCUGGGCGUUGUUUUGUUGAACUGACGAUAAAAAUCGCGUUAAAAUCGAGAGUUGGCGGUUUGUUAUGUAUUUGCAUCUGUUUGACAAAAGGCUUAGAGUGAGGAGUUAGAGUCUAAAUGCUAAAUUCAGCUGUUCUUGCUGAAGUCACGGUUGACUUAUUAUUCGCCCGCGCCUUUGAAUGUGGUUGCAGCUACCUUGCGAAGUUGCUACCUAGCGCUUUUCUCACGUUAACCAGAUUAACUCCUGCAGAGGCUAAUGAACGGCAGAAAAGGAUGGAGUCUCGUUUAAACCACUGUUUCUUAUCCUAAUUGCAAUAUUUUUCAACGUGUGUCAGUUAAUCCAUUCUGACCCAAUAGAAAAAAAUGAUGACUUGAAGAUUCUCAACAACGACGAGCUUGAAAAUUUGGCAGGGUACAUCUGCCACAAACUUGGUAAAGACAACCCCGAAAUUUGUGCCAAUUCAGAAAAUUGUUCGUCUUAUACUUUGGUGGAUCACCUAUCUGAAGGAGGACUCUCAAAUCCAACAGAUACAGCAAGCAGUAUUUGACGACUUAAAUGGUACUGAUUUGCAUAUGUAUAUGGACAAAUUCCGUCCAGAAGUACUUAGAUUUAGUAAUUUUGUAAAUUGUAGCACCAAAGUAAAAUAAUUGUUUUUCAGAGCUAGAAUGUAUUUUAGGAUUCGUUCCUUAAAUAAAAACUUAAUUGAAAAUAUGUACAGCAAAAAAAGAAAAUUAAAUAAGAAAAUAAAUUGAUAGUUGGUC